rnacentral:tRNA from 1 species
GUCCCUGUAGUUCAACGGAUAGAACAGUUGUUUCCUAAACAACGGAUCCGGGUUCGAUUCCCGGCGGGGGCACCA